AUUGAACGCUGGCGGCAGGCUUAACACAUGCAAGUCGAGCGGAGAUGAGGUGCUUGCACCUUAUCUUAGCGGCGGACGGGUGAGUAAUGCUUAGGAAUCUGCCUAUUAGUGGGGGACAACAUUCCGAAAGGAAUGCUAAUACCGCAUACGCCCUACGGGGGAAAGCAGGGGAUCUUCGGACCUUGCGCUAAUAGAUGAGCCUAAGUCGGAUUAGCUAGUUGGUGGGGUAAAGGCCUACCAAGGCGACGAUCUGUAGCGGGUCUGAGAGGAUGAUCCGCCACACUGGGACUGAGACACGGCCCAGACUCCUACGGGAGGCAGCAGUGGGGAAUAUUGGACAAUGGGCGGAAGCCUGAUCCAGCCAUGCCGCGUGUGUGAAGAAGGCCUUUUGGUUGUAAAGCACUUUCAGCGAGGAGGAGGCUACCUGGAUUAAUACUCUAGGAUAGUGGACGUUACUCGCAGAAUAAGCACCGGCUAACUCUGUGCCAGCAGCCGCCGUAA
rnacentral:rRNA from 1 species